ACCGGUCUAGUUUAUUUAAAACAAUAGCUUGUCGAGCUUUAAAAACAACGUGUUGUGAUUGGUG
rnacentral:tRNA from 1 species